UGAACUUCAUCUUGUCUUUCUACUAUUUCGUUGCGUAUGGACAUCUACAAAACUGAGGAGGAAGUCAGUAGAGGAGGAACAGAUGAU